rnacentral:rRNA from 1 species
CAGUCGCCGCGGUAAUACGAAGGGUGCAAGCGUUAAUCGGAAUUACUGGGCGUAAAGCGUGUGUAGGUGGUUGUUUAAGUCUGUCGUGAAAGCCCUGGGCUCAACCUGGGAAUUGCGAUGGAUACUGGGCGACUAGAGUGCGGUAGAGGAUAGUGGAAUUUCCGGUGUAGCAGUGAAAUGCGUAGAGAUCGGAAGGAACAUCUGUGGCGAAGGCGACUAUCUGGGCCAACACUGACACUGAGACACGAAAGCGUGGGGAGCAAACAGGAUUAGAUACCCCAGUAGUCCCUGUCUCUUAUAC